rnacentral:tRNA from 1 species
UCAGGAUAGCUCAGCUGGUAGAGCAGAGGACUGAAAAUCCUNUA